AGGACGAGCAGCCUGGCCCAGAAGUGGAAGAAACUGAAAGUGGAGUCCUGAGAGCUGAAUCUGCCGCAGGCCCGCGGGCCGCCCGGGACUUAGGAAAGUUAGAGGGGCUCCACGCCCACAAGUGCUAUGGACUCUGAUCGCCCAACCAGAGCAAACCCAGAAGGACAACUCUCCAAGCCUUUCAAUCACUCCCACUAACCCGUAGUGUGGACACACUAUUGUGAGGCCUACUAAGGAUGUACUGCUGAUGACCUUUUGAAGAGUAGCUAGUGGUUGGCCCAUGUAGGCUGAGCUCAGCUGGUCCAUCCUUCUUGGACCCACAGACUCCCUGGGGCAUGUUCUUCUCAUGAUGAUGACUGCAACACAAGAGGGCAAGACAUCCUACACAAGCACAUUUCAAGAUUUUGCUCACAUCAUCUCUGCUGAAAUUCCAUUAUCCAAAGCAAGGAACACAACUGGUCCAAAUAAGCACAGGCCUCCAAAUAUCCAUAUCUAAAAAUGGAGUGUUCGCCUCAAGCUCCUUAUUUAUCACUGCAAGAGAUUCUGGGGCUGGCAGCUAGUGACAUGAGCUGGAAUCCUCUUCCUGAAAUUACUGUCUUCUUGGAUGGGCUCUCCACAUCUUCCACCAUGAAGUAAAAACAAUUCUUGUGGGUGCCAGUGGACCUGCUCUGCAGACCCAGGCUCCUCUCCCAUGGAGCAUCCCAAGUCUGUCCUUAUGGGAAGAAGCAGGAGCCCUGUCUGGCUGUACCCCAAGCUGCUUUCUCUGGACCAAUGCUGUCAGCGAUAGAGGGAACCCUUCCACCAUCAUGUGAAGAAGCCUGGUCUAGCCUGCUGGAGGAUGAGAGAUCACAUGGAAUGAGGCCACAAUCGUUCCAGCCAAAGCCCCAGUAAUAGAAUUAAGAUCAUCCAAGACCAUGGCAUCCCGCCUGAGAAGUUCAGAUAAGAAGGGCCACCUGAACAACC
rnacentral:lncRNA from 1 species